rnacentral:rRNA from 1 species
GACGAACGCUGGCGGCGUGCUUAACACAUGCAAGUCGAACGGAAAGGCCCUGCUUUUGUUGGUUGCUCGAUUGGCGCACGGGUGAGUAUCACGUGUGUAACCUGCCCUUGACUUUCUGAUAACUUCAGGAAACUGCGGCUCAUACCGGAUAUGAUCUCCUGCUGCGUGGUGGUGGUUGGAAAGUUUCGGCGGUUGGGGCUGGUCUCGCGGCUUAUCAGCUUGUUGGUGGGGUAGUGGCUUACCAAGGCUUUGACGGGUAGCCGGCCUGGGAGGGUGACCGGCCACAUUGGGACUGAGAGACGGACCAGACUCCUACGGGAGGCAGCAGUGGGGAAUAUUGCACAAUGGGCGGAAGCCUGAUGCAGCGACGCCGCGUGCGGGAUGACGGGCUUCGGGUGGUAAACCGAUGUCGCCUGUGACGAAGAGUGAGUGACGGUAAUGGGUAAAAAAGCACCGGCUAACUACGUG